CGGCACGCGAGCUGGGUUUAGAACGUCGUGAGACAGUUCGGUCCCUAUCCGCCGCGCGCGUGUGGAGACGUGCGGGGAGCUGUCCCUAGUACGAGAGGACCGGGACGGACGAACCUCUAGUGUGCCAGUUGUCCCGCCAGGGGCACGGCUGGUUGGCCAUGUUCGGCACGGAUAACCGCUGAAAGCAUCUAAGCGGGAAGCCCACCCCAAGAUGACGUCUCCCACCCCCUACGGGGGGAUAAGGCACCCAGCAGAUGACUGGGUUGAUAGGCCCGACAUGUACGCACAGCGAUGUGUUCAGUGGACGGGUACUAACCCGCCGAACGGC
rnacentral:rRNA from 1 species